rnacentral:rRNA from 1 species
AGAGUUUGAUCCUGGCUCAGAUUGAACGCUGGCGGCAGGCCUAACACAUGCAAGUCGAGCGGUAGCACAGAGAGCUUGCUCUCGGGUGACGAGCGGCGGACGGGUGAGUAAUGUCUGGGAAACUGCCUGAUGGAGGGGGAUAACUACUGGAAACGGUAGCUAAUACCGCAUAAUGUCGCAAGACCAAAGUGGGGGACCUUCGGGCCUCAUGCCAUCAGAUGUGCCCAGAUGGGAUUAGCUAGUAGGUGGGGUAACGGCUCACCUAGGCGACGAUCCCUAGCUGGUCUGAGAGGAUGACCAGCCACACUGGAACUGAGACACGGUCCAGACUCCUACGGGAGGCAGCAGUGGGGAAUAUUGCACAAUGGGCGCAAGCCUGAUGCAGCCAUGCCGCGUGUGUGAAGAAGGCCUUCGGGUUGUAAAGCACUUUCAGCGGGGAGGAAGGCGGUGAGGUUAAUAACCUCAUCGAUUGACGUUACCCGCAGAAGAAGCACCGGCUAACUCCGUGCCAGCAGCCGCGGUAAUACGGAGGGUGCAAGCGUUAAUCGGAAUUACUGGGCGUAAAGCGCACGCAGGCGGUCUGUCAAGUCGGAUGUGAAAUCCCCGGGCUUAACCUGGGAACUGCAUUCGAAACUGGCAGGCUAGAGUCUUGUAGAGGGGGGUAGAAUUCCAGGUGUAGCGGUGAAAUGCGUAGAGAUCUGGAGGAAUACCGGUGGCGAAGGCGGCCCCCUGGACAAAGACUGACGCUCAGGUGCGAAAGCGUGGGGAGCAAACAGGAUUAGAUACCCUGGUAGUCCACGCCGUAAACGAUGUCGAUUUGGAGGUUGUGCCCUUGAGGCGUGGCUUCCGGAGCUAACGCGUUAAAUCGACCGCCUGGGGAGUACGGCCGCAAGGUUAAAACUCAAAUGAAUUGACGGGGGCCCGCACAAGCGGUGGAGCAUGUGGUUUAAUUCGAUGCAACGCGAAGAACCUUACCUGGUCUUGACAUCCACAGAACUUUCCAGAGAUGGAUUGGUGCCUUCGGGAACUGUGAGACAGGUGCUGCAUGGCUGUCGUCAGCUCGUGUUGUGAAAUGUUGGGUUAAGUCCCGCAACGAGCGCAACCCUUAUCCUUUGUUGCCAGCGGUCCGGCCGGGAACUCAAAGGAGACUGCCAGUGAUAAACUGGAGGAAGGUGGGGAUGACGUCAAGUCAUCAUGGCCCUUACGACCAGGGCUACACACGUGCUACAAUGGCAUAUACAAAGAGAAGCGACCUCGCGAGAGCAAGCGGACCUCAUAAAGUAUGUCGUAGUCCGGAUUGGAGUCUGCAACUCGACUCCAUGAAGUCGGAAUCGCUAGUAAUUGUAGAUCAGAAUGCUACGGUGAAUACGUUCCCGGGCCUUGUACACACCGCCCGUCACACCAUGGGAGUGGGUUGCA